UGUCGCACUAAUGACGACACCUCUGCUUUCAAACAAACACACAAAGGUAUUUAAAAUGCGAUAAAACUGAAUUGUUCCAUUUAAACAUGUGGCGAAAUAUUGUAUUUAAACGAUAUGUUGUUUUAGAUUUCGUUUAGGAGGAAUAACGUCGCAUGUUAAAGUUAUCUAGUUUGCUUUUUGGCCAGCCUGUUACAGUUGCGCUCUAGUGUAUUGGCACCCUUGUACGUCUAUUUUAAAUAAUUCAAUACGUCUUCAAAUAUACAUUUAAAAUCAAAAACGUGUUCACACGUGUACUGUGGUAAGUUGCAGGUCUUUUUACAAGGUAAAAACAGCCAUUCAAAUCGUGUUGAAAAGAGAACAGGAUAUUCUGCUUCAUUAUAACGUUACCACUGUGAACAUGGCGAAGGGGAAAGAACUGUCUGAGGAUUUCGUAAUGUUAUCAGGAAGCAUGCUGUCCAUGGAGUUGUAGUCAACCUCCCAGGACGUGGGCGCAAGAAGACUCUGGUUCCACCGGGUGAAAAGAGAGAACUUGCAAGAAGAAUCUGGUUCCACCAGUUGAAAAAGCAGUUCGUUCUGCAUCUAUCCAAAAUAAAAUGACAUCUGUUUGUGAUGCCACCAAUGAUGACAAGGAAAAUGGUUCCGAGUCGACAGAGUCUCAGGACAAGGAACAUCCACGGCUUCUCAUCCCAGAGUUAUGUCGUCUUUUCUACCAACUCGGCUGGGUUACUGGGACAGGGGGAGGGCUAAGUUUGAGACGUGGAGAUCAGAUCUACAUUGCCCCGUCUGGAGUGCAGAAGGAGAGACUACAGGUGAGCAGGGCUGGUGUUUUACCUUCAUAUCAUCAUAGAGACUACAGGUGAGCAGGGCUGAUGUUUUACCUUCAU